GUGUAUAUAUUUUCCAACUUACUCCCAUUGAUGAAACUUCUCAUUUUCUGCCCGAAAGCUUAUUAGGAGACGAGUGUGCUCAGGGCUCCCUGUUUAUUUACAAAAUACACACGUGUUACAACCUUGUAAUCGAACAGCAGGGAUCGCUAUUAUCAAAAGAUUUAUGAACAUACAAAUUAACGUGCUUAUCCUUUAUCAUGAUUUUCUCUCUUGUGAGAAAUAAAAG